UUUCAGUGCCGUAAUUAACCAUGAACACUGAGUACGAGUACGUACUACGUAGUACGUGUUGGAAGAUUGUCAAUUUGUCAGAGUGCAUUUAAUAAUACCCUCUGCCCAGUGGUUACUCGAAAGUCAAGAGGUAAUUAUGGAGCACUAGACCUCACACUUAUUAUGCCAUUAUUUCCGGACAGCGGUGCAGCUUCGAAUUCGGGAGGUAAACGAAUUUUGGACCACUGUCGACACGAAACCUCACAGUCCGACUGCGGCGUCACACCGGCCGCGUACAGCCGUCGUGCGCUAUGGAUAUUCUAUUCGCGAUAUGGCAGAUGCCGUAGUUAAUUUACCUGGCAGAAGUGGAGCGAAGCGAGCAAGGCGGCGCUGGCGACGUGGGGGCUCUUGUCGACGAUGGCCUGCUUCAUGUAGCGCUCGACGGACUGCAGCAUGGACUGGUCGACGAUCAUGCACAGCGCGCGGAUGGCCGCGGCGCGGUACGCCUCCUCCUUGCCCGUCAUGUCCUUCAUCAGACUACUGGUCACGAUGAUCACGUCCUCCGCCACCUAAUCAAUCGAUCGAUUAAUUAUUUCCGCAAUGGAAAUUAAUCAGAAUUACGCUUAAUGCAAACUAGUGACACUCUAAUAGUGCAGCUGAUGAUU